rnacentral:rRNA from 1 species
CCUACGGGAGGCUGCAGUGGGGAAUAUUGCACAAUGGGGGAAACCCUGAUGCAGCGACGCCGCGUGAGGGAAGAAGUAACUAGGUAUGUAAAGCCCUAUCAGCAGGGAAGAAAAUGACGGUACCUGAGUAAGAAGCCACGACUAAAUACGAACGAGCAGCCGAGGUAAUACGUAGGGGGCAAGCGUUAUCCGGAUUUACUGGGUGUAAAGGGAGCGUAGACGGCAGUGCAAGUCUGGAGUGAAAGGCGGGGGCUCAACCCCCGGACUGCUCUUGAAACUGUACGGCUGGAGUGCAGGAGAGGUAAGUGGAAUUCGUAGUGUAGCGGUGAAAUGCGUAGAUAUUAGGAGGAACACCAGUGGCGAAGGCGGCUUACUGGACUGUAACUGACGUUGAGGCUCGAAAGCGUGGGGAGCAAACAGGAUUAGAUACCCCUGUAGUC